GAUGAACGCUGGCGGCGUGCCUAAUACAUGCAAGUCGAGCGAACAGAUGAGGAGCUUGCUCCUCUGACGUUAGCGGCGGACGGGUGAGUAACACGUGGAUAACCUACCUAUAAGACUGGGAUAACUUCGGGAAACCGGAGCUAAUACCGGAUAAUAUAUUGAACCGCAUGGUUCAAUAGUGAAAGACGGUUUUGCUGUCACUUAUAGAUGGAUCCGCGCCGCAUUAGCUAGUUGGUAAGGUAACGGCUUACCAAGGCAACGAUGCGUAGCCGACCUGAGAGGGUGAUCGGCCACACUGGAACUGAGACACGGUCCAGACUCCUACGGGAGGCAGCAGUAGGGAAUCUGCCGCAAUGGGCGAAAGCCUGACGGAGCAACGCCGCGUGAGAGAUGAAGGUCUUCGGAUCGUAAAACUCUGUUAUUAGGGAAGAACAAAUGUGUAAUUAACUAUGCACGUCUUGACGGUACCUAAUCAGAAAGCCACGGCUAACUACGUG
rnacentral:rRNA from 1 species